rnacentral:rRNA from 1 species
CACGCCCUAAACGAUGUCAACUAGUUGUCGGAGGAGAGAUUCUUUGGUAACGCAGCUAACGCGUGAAGUUGACCGCCUGGGGGAGUACGGUCGCAAGAUUAAAACUCAAAGGAAUUGACGGGGGGCCCGCACAAGCGGUGGAUGAUGUGGAUUAAUUCGAUGCAACGCGAAAAACCUUACCUACCCUUGACAUGUCCGGAACUUGCCAGAGAUGGCCUGGUGCUCGAAAGAGAGCCGGGACACAG